rnacentral:lncRNA from 10 species
CUGGGAUACCUUUUUCAUUCUUGAAAGUAGGAGCUACGGAAAAAAGCAAAACAAAACAAAACAAACAAAAAACCACUAAAAUGUCUUUAAGAGAGCCAUCUACUUACGAUCUAACUUACAUAAUCAAAACACUCUAUUCAGGGUGAAAAUUGAGUAUAAUAAGAAAAUAAUCACCUGUUUUGUGAGAGGUUCCAUAUAUAAUGCUCCUCUACCCAAUACAUACGCUCCUGAGAGAACAGGUAACACCACUCAAACAAAUGGAGGAUCAAAUGGAAAGUUAUC